ACGAACGCUGGCGGCGUGCCUAACACAUGCAAGUCAACUUGACUGAAGGAGCAAUCUGACAGUAGAGUGGCGCAAGGGUGCGUAACGCGUAAGUAACUUGCCCCAAGGUAAGGAAUAACGUCGAGAAAUCGGCGCUAAUACCUCAUAAUGCAGCGGAUCCGCAUGGAUAUGUUGUUAAAGGUUUACCGCCUUGGGAUAGGCUUGCGUCUGAUUAGCUAGUUGGUGUGGUAACGGCACACCAAGGCUACGAUCAGUAACUGGUCUGAGAGGGUGAUCAGUCACACUGGAACUGAGACACGGUCCAGACUCCUACGGGAGGCAGCAGUGAGGAAUAUUGGGCAAUGCUCGAAAGAGUGACCCAGCAACGCCGCGUGGAGGAUGAAGGUAUUCUAUAUCGUAAACUCCUGUGAGAGCAGACGAAAGACAGAUUAUUAAUCUGGAUGACUGUAUGCUCAGAGGAAGCCCCGGCUAACUACGUG
rnacentral:rRNA from 1 species